rnacentral:rRNA from 1 species
AGAGUUUGAUCCUGGCUCAGAUUGAACGCUGGCGGAAUGCUUUACACAUGCAAGUCGAACGGCAGCACGGGAGCUUGCUCCUGGUGGCGAGUGGCGAACGGGUGAGUAAUGCGUCGGAACGUACCGAGUAAUGGGGGAUAACGCAGCGAAAGCUGUGCUAAUACCGCAUACGCCCCGAGGGGGAAAGCAGGGGAUCGCAAGACCUUGCGUUAUUCGAGCGGCCGACGUCUGAUUAGCUAGUUGGUGGGGUAAUGGCUCACCAAGGCGACGAUCAGUAGCGGGUCUGAGAGGAUGAUCCGUCACACUGGAACUGAGACACGGUCCAGACUCCUACGGGAGGCAGCAGUGGGGAAUUUUGGACAAUGGGGGAAACCCUGAUCCAGCCAUUCCGCGUGAGUGAAGAAGGCCUUCGGGUUGUAAAGCUCUUUCAGCUGGAACGAAACGGUACGCUCUAACAUAGCGUGCUAAUGACGGUACCAGCAGAAGAAGCACCGGCUAACUACGUGCCAGCAGCCGCGGUAAUACGUAGGGUGCGAGCGUUAAUCGGAAUUACUGGGCGUAAAGCGUGCGCAGGCGGAUUGUUAAGCAAGAUGUGAAAUCCCCGGGCUUAACCUGGGAAUGGCAUUUUGAACUGGCAGUCUAGAGUGUGUCAGAGGGGGGUGGAAUUCCACGUGUAGCAGUGAAAUGCGUAGAUAUGUGGAGGAACACCAAUGGCGAAGGCAGCCCCCUGGGAUAACACUGACGCUCAUGUACGAAAGCGUGGGUAGCAAACAGGAUUAGAUACCCUGGUAGUCCACGCCCUAAACGGUGUCAACUGGUUGUUGGGGGGAGUGAAAUCCCUUAGUAACGAAGCUAACGCGUGAAGUUGACCGCCUGGGGAGUACGGUCGCAAGAUUAAAACUCAAGGAAUUGACGGGGACCGCACAAGCGGUGGAUGAUGUGGAUAAUUCGAUGCAACGCGAAAAACCUUACCUACCCUUGACUUGUCCGGAAUCCUGCAGAGAUGCGGGAGUGCCCGAAGGGAAUCGAACAAGGUGCUGCAUGGCUGUCGGCAGCUCGUGCGUGAGAGGUUGGUUAGUCCGAACGAGCGCACCCUUAUCAUAGUGCUACGCAGGCACUCUAUGAACUGCGGUGACAACCGAGAAGUGGGAAGGCUCUGUCUAUGGCCUAUGGAGGG